GAUGAACGCUGGCGGCGUGCCUAAUACAUGCAAGUCGAACGAAACUUCUUUAUCACCGAGUGCUUGCACUCACCGAUAAAGAGUUGAGUGGCGAACGGGUGAGUAACACGUGGGCAACCUGCCCAAAAGAGGGGGAUAACACUUGGAAACAGGUGCUAAUACCGCAUAACCAUAGUUACCGCAUGGUAACUAUGUAAAAGGUGGCUAUACUACCGCUUUUGGAUGGGCCCGCGGCGCAUUAGCUAGUUGGUAGGGUAAAGGCUUACCAAGGCAAUGAUGCGUAGCCGAAGUGAGAGGUUGAUCGGCCACAUUGGGACGGAGACACGGCCCAAACUCCUACGGGAGGCAGCAGUAGGGAAUCUUCCACAAUGGGCGAAAGCCUGAUGGAGCAACGCCGCGUGGGUGAAGAAGGUCUUCGGAUCGUAAAACCCUGUUGUUAGAGAAGAAAGUGCGUGAGAGUAACUGUUCACGUUUCGACGGUAUCUAACCGGAAAGCCACGGCUAACUACGUG
rnacentral:rRNA from 1 species